UCCCUGGUGGCUCAGUCAGUAAAGAAUCUGCCUGCAAUGCAGGAAACCCAGGUUCAGUCCCUGGGUUGGGAA
rnacentral:tRNA from 1 species